rnacentral:lncRNA from 1 species
GAAGGAAAAAUGGGUGAGAUCGAACAAAAAAUAGGAAAAAAACAUUUAAGCCUUAAUUUGUUCUUUUCGGUUGCUGUUCUUCGCGGUGCCUCGUCAGAAUGCUGGCUAAGAUUUAUUCUCUGAGCAUAGAAAGAGAGGAAAGGAUGUCUACGACUAUGCUAAUCAUGAGCAUGAAUUUUCCUCUCGCUUCAUUGUUUUGUGAGUUUUUACUACUGUGCUGUAUAUAUGUGUUAUUAUACUCAUAUGUUGUAUUAGUCUUUGAAACAAUAUUCUGAAUCAACUAAGAAUAAGAAAUUGGGAAAAUUGGUC